CCCUUCUCAGGAUCACACCUGGAGAGUUUCCAGUAUUCUACCAGUCUUGAAUAUGGGAGGGAGAGUCAAGCAGAGGCAUUUCCAUUCCUAGCUUGGCCAGUGGCUAGCGAGUGGAAGGCAACUUGCGACAAGU